CCUGCUUGCGUCUUUACCUGUACAGCGACUUGGAGCAAUAUCCUGCACAGCCCCUGUGCACAGACUCACAGGCUAGGUGAAUUCUUACCUGACCACCUUGGCCUAUGUUUAAUUGCAAGGGUGAGCAUAAAUCUCUGCCUACUGGACUCACAACUAAGGUAAGCAAUGACACUACCAACAAGUAGGUUUAAAUGAUUAGAAAAUCAUG